UAUUAAUUGUGUGCCGGCCGCCGCGGUAAAACGUAGGUCACAAGCGUUGUCCGGAAUUACUGGGUGUAAAGGGAGCGCAGGCGGGAGAACAAGUUGGAAGUGAAAUCCAUGGGCUCAACCCAUGAACUGCUUUCAAAACUGUUUUUCUUGAGUAGUGCAGAGGUAGGCGGAAUUCCCGGUGUAGCGGUGGAAUGCGUAGAUAUCGGGAGGAACACCAGUGGCGAAGGCGGCCUACUGGGCACCAACUGACGCUGAGGCUCGAAAGUGUGGGUAGCAAACAGG
rnacentral:rRNA from 1 species